rnacentral:rRNA from 1 species
GCAAGCGUUGUUCGGAAUUAUUGGGCGUAAAGGGCGCGUAGGCGGCCUUCUAAGUCGAACGUGAAAUCCCCGGGCUCAACCCGGGAACUGCGUCCGAUACUGGAAGGCUUGAAUCCGGGAGAGGGAUGCGGAAUUCCAGGUGUAGCGGUGAAAUGCGUAGAUAUCUGGAGGAACACCGGUGGCGAAGGCUGCAUCCUGGACCGGCAUUGACGCUGAGGCUCGAAAGCCAGGGGAGCAAACGGG